AUGUUGACAGCGUACUUUCAUGCAAACAGCUUACAUGAGAAAGCACGAGGCAUACUAUACAGAGACUUCCCGGAAUAUUAUACUUGGCAAACACGCGGGAAGUUUUGGCAAGAGAGAAAACGGGCCGCUCUGUUCCAGGUUGGCAGAAUCGUCUCAGCACACCCGGCUGAAGGAGAACGAUACUAUCUUCGAGUUCUCCUAAACCAUGUGACAGGCGCCACCAGCUACGAAGACCUAAGAACAGUUGAAGCACAACUAAUGCCAACCUUCCGUGAAGCUGCAGAAAAACGGGGGCUCAUUGAGGCAGACAACACAUUGGAUGAUUGCAUGACAGAAGCGGAGUUGUUUCGAAUGCCAUCAUCGCUACGAAGGCUAUUCGCGACAAUCCUGGUGUUUUGCGAGCCUAGCAACGUCCGUAGCCUCUGGAACAAACACCUUGAGUCAAUGUCAGAAGACUACAACAGAAACUGCAAAUGCAAGCACACGGUCGAACAGAUGGUGCUUAGAAAUAUCAGAGACAUGUUGCACUCAAUGGGAAAAGACAUAAAAUCAUUUCCUCUUCCAGAGAUCGAGAAACAACAUGAGACGGCAGACGACGUACCUAGGGAGAUCAUCGAGGAGAUCUCAAUCGAGGUGGACCCGGAGGACGCAACUUUACAUAGAAACCUAAACAACGAGCAGAGAAAGGCCUAUGAUGAAAUCUUACACGCAAUUGACCGCCAAAGAGGAGGCUUAUUCUUUGUCGAUGGACCGGGAGGCACAGGAAAAACUUUUCUUUACAGGGCACUCUUGGCCACAAUACGCGGACAAGGUAAGAUUGCUGUGGCGACGGCCACUUCCGGUGUUGCUGCUUCCAUAAUGCCCGGAGGGAGGACCGCACACUCGAGGUUCAAGAUUCCACUAAAAAUAGAUGAUGGAGCUAUUUGUGGAUUCACAAAACAAAGUGGGACAGCCAAGCUACUCCAAGCAGCAUCACUAAUAAUCUGGGAUGAAGCAUCUAUGACUAAGAGGCAGAUAGUGGAGGCGCUAGACAAAAGCAUGCGGGACAUAAUGGACAGACCAGAUCUUCCAUUCGGUGGAAAAACAGUCGUAUUUGGAGGAGACUUUAGGCAAGUGCUCCCCGUUGUUCGAAAGGGAACAAGAGCCCAGAUAGUAGAUGCAUCACUAUGCAGGUCCGAGCUCUGGAAUUCCAUGCAAUACCUACUACGCAUUGGAAACGGAACCGAGGAGACAAAUGAUGAUAGUGAAAUACUUCUACCUGCAAGUAUAUGCGUGCCAAAUAAGACGGAUGAUAAUGGCCUGGAUAGACUCAUCGACAGUGUCUACGAAACGGACAAUGCUUCCCUAAAAGAUCCAAAAUACAUCACGUCAAGAGCAAUUUUAUCCACAAGGAACGACUCUGUAGACAGAAUAAACCUAAAAAUGAUUGAUCGCUUCAAAGGAGAGGAGAUGGUGUACCACAACUUCGACUCUGUAGAAGACGACCCACAUAACUACUAUCCACCAGAAUUCCUAAACACCCUCACCCCAAAUGGACUGCCUCCACAUAUGCUAAAGCUGAAAAUAAAUUGUCCAAUCAUACUACUGAGGAAUAUUGACCCCGCUAAUGGACUCUGCAAUGGCACAAGAUUGGUCGUGCGUGGAUUCCAGAAAAAUGCAAUUGAUGCAGAGAUUGUAGUAGGGCAGCACUCUGGAAUGCGAGUUUUCUUGCCACGGAUACCAUUAUGCCCAUCUGACGACGAUAUGUUCCCGUUCAAUUUCAAGAGGAAACAAUUUCCAGUGAGACUAAGUUUUGCAAUGACAAUAAACAAAUCGCAAGGUCAGACAAUACCAAAUGUCGGUGUCUACCUGCCUGAACCGGUUUUCUCACAUGGUCAACUAUAUGUCGCUCUUUCUAGAGCGACCUCGACAUCAAACAUAAAAGUAUUAACAAGGAAUAAUCAAACAAUUAGUACAAACAGGGCAUACACAAAAAAUAUUGUCUACACAGAAGUCCUCACC
rnacentral:rRNA from 1 species